rnacentral:rRNA from 1 species
CGGGUUAAACCGUACGCCUCCUUAUCGGGGGAGGUAACGUAAUUGGUAAACGGAAUAGCUAAUACCGCAUAAAAGUACGAUAUCGCAUGAUGUUGACUUGAAAAGGUGCAAUUGCAUCACUAAGAGAUGGACCUGCGUUGUAUUAGCUAGUUGGUGAGGUAACGGCUCACCAAGGCGACGAUACAUAGCCGACCUGAGAGGGUGAUCGGCCACACUGGGACUGAGACACGGCCCAG